UGAUGUUAUGAUGAUGGGCAACAUGUUCAACUGCUCUGAAUGGGCUGAAUGAAAAUAGCCUUUCUGAACAUCA
rnacentral:snoRNA from 9 species